rnacentral:rRNA from 1 species
GGGUGUGAUCAUACUAGUGUUAAUGCACCGGAUCCCAUUAGUACUCCGUAGUUAAGUGCACUUGGGUUAGAGUAGUACUGGGAUGGGUGACCUCCUGGGAAGUUCUAGUGUUGCACCCU